rnacentral:rRNA from 1 species
AACGUAGGUGGCAAGCGUUAUCCGGAAUUACUGGGCGUAAAGGGUGUGCAGGCGGGGUUGCAAGUGGUGUAUGAAAUAUCCCAGCUUAACUGGGAGGGGUUAUGCCAGACUGCAACUCUAGAGGACGAGAGAGGGGGGUGGAAUUCCGGGUGUAGUGGUGAAAUGCGUAGAUAUCUGGAGGAACACCGGUGGCGAAGGCGGCAUCCUGGACCAACACUGACGCUGAGGAGCGAAAGCCAGGGGAGCAAACGGG